UACGUAGGGAGCAAGCGUUGUCCGGAAUCAUUGGGCGUAAAGCGCGCGUAGGCGGCCCCGUAAGUCCGCUGCGAAAGUCAAAGGCUCAACCUUUGAAAGCCGGUGGAUACUGUGGGGCUAGAGUCCGGAAGAGGCGAGUGGAAUUCCUGGUGUAGCGGUGGAAUGCGCAGAUAUCAGGAGGAACACCGGUGGCGAAGGCGGGUCUCUGGGCAGUAACUGACGCUGAGGAGCGAAAGCGUGGGGAGCGAACAGG
rnacentral:rRNA from 1 species